rnacentral:rRNA from 1 species
GCUAGCGGCAGGCCUAAUACAUGCAAGUCGAGGGGUAACAGGAAGUGCUUGCACUUCGCUGACGACCGGCGCACGGGUGAGUACCGCGUAUACAAUCUGCCUCAUACUAGGGAAUAGCCCGAAGAAAUUUGGAUUAAUGCCCUAUAGUAUCUUUUUAAGGCAUCUUAUUAAGAUUAAAGGUUACGGUAUGAGAUGAGUAUGCGUUCUAUUAGCUAGUAGGUGUGGUAACGGCACACCUAGGCUACGAUAGAUAGGGGCCCUGAGAGGGGGAUCCCCCACACUGGUACUGAGACACGGACCAGACUCCUACGGGAGGCAGCAGUAAGGAAUAUUGGACAAUGGGCGAAAGCCUGAUCCAGCCAUGCCGCGUGCAGGAUGACGGCCCUAUGGGUUGUAAACUGCUUUUAUAUAGGAAGAAAAACUUUCUCGUGAGAAAGCUUGACGGUACUAUAAGAAUAAGGAUCGGCUAACUCCGUGCCAGCAGCCGCGGUAAUACGGAGGAUCCAAGCGUUAUCCGGAAUCAUUGGGUUUAAAGGGUCCGUAGGUGGACAAAUAAGUCAGAGGUGAAAUCCUGCAGCUCAACUGUAGAACUGCCUUUGAUACUGUUUGUCUUGAGUUAUUAUGAAGUGGUUAGAAUGUGUAGUGUAGCGGUGAAAUGCAUAGAUAUUACACAGAAUACCGAUUGCGAAGGCAGAUCACUAAUAAUUAACUGACACUGAGGGACGAAAGCGUGGGUAGCGAACAGGAUUAGAUACCCUGGUAGUCCACGCCGUAAACGAUGGUCACUAGCUGUUUGGACUUCGGUCUGAGUGGCUAAGCGAAAGUGAUAAGUGACCCACCUGGGGAGUACGUC